UGCCUGGUGGUGUAAUGGCAGCACAGAUGACUUUGACUCAUCUAGUCAUGGUUCGAAUCCAUGCCGGGCAGCCA
rnacentral:tRNA from 2 species